AGAUUGAACGCUGGCGGCAUGCCUAACACAUGCAAGUCGAACGAGGGUAGCAAUACCUUAGUGGCGGACGGGUGAGGAAUACGUAGGAAUUUGCCCUUAAGUGGGGGAUAGCCCGGGGAAACCCGGAUUAAUACCGCAUACGUCCUACGGGAGAAAGCGGGGGACCUUCGGGCCUCGCGCGGUCAGACGGACCGAUGUUCGAUUAGCUAGUUGGUAAGGUAAUGGCUUACCAAGGCGACGAUCGAUAGCUGGUCUGAGAGGAUGAUCAGCCACACUGGAACUGAGACACGGUCCAGACUCCUACGGGAGGCAGCAGUGGGGAAUAUUGGACAAUGGGCGCAAGCCUGAUCCAGCAAUGCCGCGUGUGUGAAGAAGGCCUUCGGGUUGUAAAGCACUUUUAUCAGGAGCGAAAUACUACCGGUUAAUAACCGGUGGGCUGACGGUACCUGAGGAAUAAGCACCGGCUAACUUCGCGCCAGCAGCCGCGGUAA
rnacentral:rRNA from 1 species